rnacentral:rRNA from 1 species
GAUGAACGCUGGCGGCGUGCCUAAUACAUGCCAGUCGAGCGAACAGACGAGGAGCUUGCUCCUCUGACGUUAGCGGCGGACGGGUGAGUAACACGUGGAUAACCUACCUAUAAGACUGGGAUAAAUUCGGGAAACCGGAGCUAAUACCGGAUAAUAUAUUGAACCGCAUGGUUCAAUAGUGAAAGACGGUUUUGCUGUCAAUUAUAGAUGGAUCCGCGCCGCAUUAGCUAGUUGGUAAGGUAACGGCUUAUCAAGGCAACGAUGCGUAGCCGACCUGAGAGGGUGAUCUGCCACACUUGAUCUGAGAAACGGUCCAGACUCCUACGGGAGGCAGCAGUAGGGAAUCUUCCGCAUUGGGCGAAAGCCUGACGGAGCAUCGCCGCGUGAGUGAUGACGGUCUUCGGAUCGUAAAACUCUGUUAUUAGGGAAGACCAAAUGUGUAAGUAACUAUGCACGUCUUGACGGUACCUAAUCAGAAAGCCACGGCUAACUACGUG